GACGUAGGGGGCGAGCGUUGUCCGGAUUUAUUGGGCGUAAAGAGCUCGUAGGCGGCUCGCUAAGUCAGGGGUGAAAUCCCAGGGCUCAACCCUGGAACUGCCUCUGAUACUGGCAAUCUGGAGAUCGGGAGAGGUUGGUGGAAUUCCGAGUGUAGAGGUGAAAUUCGUAGAUAUUGGGAAGAACACCGGUGGCGAAGGCGGCGCUCUGGACCGAGACUGACGCUGAGGCGCGAAAGCGUGGGGAGCAAACAGG
rnacentral:rRNA from 1 species